AGUGAACGCUGGCGGUAGGCCUAACACAUGCAAGUCGAACGGCAGCACAGUAAGAGCUUGCUCUUACGGGUGGCGAGUGGCGGACGGGUGAGGAAUACAUCGGAAUCUACUUUUUCGUGGGGGAUAACGUAGGGAAACUUACGCUAAUACCGCAUACGACCUACGGGGGAAAGCAGGGGAUCUUCGGACCUUGCGCGAUUGAAUGAGCCAAUGUCGGAUUAGCUAGUUGGCGGGGUAAAGGCCCACCAAGGCGACGAUCCGUAGCUGGUCUGAGAGGAUGGUCAGCCACACUGGAACUGAGACACGGUCCAGACUCCUACGGGAGGCAGCAGUGGGGAAUAUUGGACAAUGGGCGCAAGCCUGAUCCAGCCAUACCGCGUGGGUGAAGAAGGCCUUCGGGUUGUAAAGCCCUUUUGUUGGGAAAGAAAAGCAGCAGGUUAAUACCCCGCUGUUCUGACGGUACCCAAAGAAUAAGCACCGGCUAACUUCGUG
rnacentral:rRNA from 1 species